AUUGAACGCUGCGGCAGGCUUAACACAUGCAAGUCGAGCGAGCGGCGGACGGGUGAGUAAUGAUUAGGAAUCUGCCUAUUCGUGGGGGACAACAUCUCGAAAGGGAUGCUAAUACCGCAUACUAAUAGAUGCGCCUAAGUCGGAUUAGCUAGUUGGUGGGGUAAAGGGCUACCAAGGCGACGACCCGUAGCGGGUCUGAGAGGAUGAUCCGCCACACUGGGGCUGGGACACUGCCCAGACUCCUACGGGAGGGAACAGUGGGGAAAAUUUGACAAUGGGGGGAACGCUGAUCCAGCCAUGCCGCGGUGGUGAAAAAGGGCUUAUGGUUGUAAAGAACUUUAAGCGAGGAGGCGUUACUCGCAGAAUAAGCACCGGCUAACUCUGUGCCAGCAGCCGCGGUAAUAC
rnacentral:rRNA from 1 species